rnacentral:misc_RNA from 1 species
CUAUUACACAAUUUUGGCCUCAAUGUCAACAACAUCGAACCUGAGCACUCCUCAAAGUCCUUGAGGAUAUAUAUGAAGAUGAAAUAUGAGCGCACCAGCAGCGUGCGAUGAGAAAGCCUAAGGACCAAUAGGUGAAUCUUGAAUAGUUUAGUUUCCAGAAGCUGGAUCGUUUCUGAAUUGCUGCUCUACCAUUGGAGGGAGGAGAAGCGCAAGCCUGGUUUUGUAUCUUGCAAUGCGUCUAAGCCUUUCUUCCCUUAAUCGUGAUCUAAUCCUUUUAGCACGCUUGACAUGUCUCUGCAAAAGUUCUUUCGGAGAUAAAUGCUCAACAGAUUCCCCAGCCUCUUCCUCUUCUUCUUUAUCUCCCUCCUUUUUCACAGGAGAUUCAGCAUCUUGUGGAGCUAGUGCCAAGGGUCUAGGAAGAGAUCUUACCCCAUCCAUGUAUUGGGACUGAGUGUCAUCUGGAAGCCCAUUCCUCAACCACGAGCGACAGAGGGUGUAGAGAGAAGCAUUAUCACAAAUUCGGACCUUUCUGUCUCUGAUUAUAGCAAAAGUUUCAUCCUUACUUCUGUCCCUCUUGUCUCUGAAACCAUUACAAUCUGAAAGGGAAGGCUGAGUAGAAGCAAUCUUGUUAUGCGAAGAACUGACUACUGGAAAUCCCUUAACCGCACCAGGCAAGACACCACUCGAAGCCGCAGGACCAGCAGAAUUGACAGUAGGAGACGAUCCAAGAAGAGCGUGUUGUAAAUGACUCGGUCUAACACCCGCAGACUGACCCGAACCCGGAUCCAUCUGAUUCACCCCAAAAACUGGUCUAGACCCGAGGUGGCUAACAACUGGCCGAUUCGGGUAAUUACUAGGUUUGGACAAAAACCCGCGGCCGGAGGAAGCAACUGGGUAGAGAAUGCUGUGGAGAUGAGGUUGAGAAUCGGGAUUAGGAGGUUUUAGUACUAAUUGAGAGUAACCGGGAUUGGAUGAGGGCGGUAAGCGUUGGGUAGAUGGAAAGUGAGAAGAUUGGAGGGAAAAAGGGGGAUGUGGUUGUGGGGUGGGUGGUCUUACAGGGUUAGAGAAAAUUGGUCUUGUGGGUAUACCGGUGGUUAUAGCUGCAUCGGCUGUGGCGGUGUUGGUGGCGGCGGUGGGCGGAGGAUCCGGCGGAGCUGGUGGGGUAGAGAGUGCCAUGCUUUGGUGUUGGCGGGGAAAACUUUUGGGUAUUUUUAUUAGGGGGAGAAG